GGCCUUGUAGUUCAAUUGGCUAGAGCUUGGCUGUACUACAGCCUUCCCUUUGCUGGCGUGGGUUCGAAUCCCACCGAUAUCC
rnacentral:tRNA from 1 species